GCCUGCGGCUCAAAGUACAGGCCGUGGUGGGCCGGAGCUGAAACAUUAACCAGGCCUUGGGCUUGCUGAGGACAAGCACAGUGGAUGGGUUGCUUCUUACCGAGUCUCAGCGCUGCCUGGGAGACGCUGGCGGACGCCAAUCACCACAGUGAAAUGCUGCAUGGCAAUACAAACGCAGCUUUUUUCCCCUUUUGGAGAUGAGCACGUGUCAAUUGAACAAAGGAUGAUAGGAAAGUUUUCUUCCAAAGAUGAGCAAAACAAGGAGCACACUCUGAACAAAGAUCCUCCCAUUCCAUGAAGCUUUGGCAGCUAUAAAACAUCACAGAGCAGCAGCUUCCCAGGGAUGCUUUGGGACUGAGCAACCUCUGGGUUCCCCAGCGGUGCUGAAGAACUCCAACAUUUCUCCGUUUUGAAUAGAGCUGGCAAAAUCCAUAAUUGCUUCCAUUCUGCUUGGCUGGAAAAUAGCAAAAGCCAGGCAUGCUGCCACGGGACUGCUGGGUGCAGAGUGGGUAUGACAGAGGGCUCUGCACCAAGGCUUACCCAACAGAAGUGAAGGCAUCCCACAGCUCAGCCUGGCUUUCAUGAAUCUUUUAAUAUACAUAUAUAUUUUCCUUUUGUGCGUGUAUUUUUUUCCUUCCCUCGAGUGGAGCAGCACCAGUGAGGUGAUGACUUACCUACUGCAGCCUGGGAGAUAGCAAUCUGGAAGGGAUGGUCAUCACACAAUGCCCGAGCAGAGCUUUUCUGGCCCAAAUUUCUCUGAUUACGUUGUUACCUGGUCGGUGAAGAGAACCGUGAAAAACACAAUUACCAGGAAGCCCUGCUCCUUUCCUUGUCUCUUUGUCUCACUGCAGAUUGGGCAUGUGACUCACAGGGAAAUAGAAGAGCUGCCAUUUUCAUUUGUUUGACCCAAAGGGGUGCUGCGUGCCAGUCACACCUAACUGUGGGAAAGCUCAGCCACUGGCUGACAAACCUGAUCACAUCGUGUUUGUAGCUGGCAUUUAGAUGCAUCUGAUGGACCAGAGCAUGGCAUGAAGAACAGGAAAACCUCCGUCCUGCAGACAGCACAGGGAAGGGAGGAUAAAGGUUUGAAUGAGCUUGGUGUGGCGGGACAGAAAUUUUUUUGGCCACUGAUGUAGCAUCAGACUAAAGGGAAAGGGCACAAGCAGGCUUUAACUGUGGGUGUUGGUGACAGACUUGCUCAGUGCAAGCCCAUGUGUGCAUUCUGGGCUGCACAGGAAGACUUGGCUGUGUCCUCAUGGGAUGCACGGCAGGGAAGGAGAACCUCCCCAGUGGACCAAAGGACUGUGUCCUGAGUGAACUGGAUGACAGCUUCCCUGAAGUUAUGGACUGAAGGAGAACUUUUCCAAUUGACUGAGGGAAAACCUCCCCUACUGACUGCCACCCCAAAGCCCUAGCUGAAGACUACAAUGACAAAUGCCUACGAGUGACCAACAUUUGCAUUAUGAAUUGCAAUCAAAAAGAACUGGCUCCAAGUCAGCACAGAUUCCCAGCUGAUUUGAUGGGCAGGUUUUUGGGAAGAGAGACGUGCUGACCCACAGCUGUCCCAGGACCACAGAGAAUCUUGACAGCUGGGUGCCUAUCAAAUAUAUCAGCAGCGUCACGUCAGACUGAGGGCCUUCAAGCAGGUGCAGCUUAUCUUCACUUUCAAACUCAGAGACCUCAGCAUGUAGGCUUGUCCUGCAUAGGCAAGGUGAUCACUCCAUGAAACUCAAUGCAGUGAGGCUGGGUCACAUGAGUAGAGCUGCUCAGCAUGUGCAAACUCCGUUCACUUCAUCAUAGAAUCAUUGAAUAUUCCAAGAUGGAAGAGACCCACAAGGAUCAUCCAACCUCAGUAUCCUCAGAAGAACACACUGGCGCCAUCAGCAUCCCUAGAGCAGCAAGGCCGGAAGUCCUCUUCUGUCCUGUGUCCCUUUGAUGUGGCCUAUCUCUGGAAGUUUUGCAUGUGCACAGAGCAUACAUGAAUUAUAUAAAUGCAAGAAUAAAUUAUUAUUAGGCCCUGCAUGAUGUUUUAUACGGCUCAAAUGUUACUCUGUGCUUAAGUCUUCUCCCUCACCUCAGGAACAACAAACCCAACAGUCAGUUGCCUUUCUUAGGACAUUUCCAACUAUUAGUGUUUUUCACCUCAACACUGAUUUUGAUUGAAUAGUUAUACCACAAAAGCAGCAACUGUGGAAAACAAUAAAGCAUUUAUUUUCAGAUUCAUAAGGAGAACAGAGAUUUAAGGAGAACGGAGAUUAUCCUGACUUUUUUAGUGCUCAACAUCGGCACGUUGCCCAGUUGUAGGAUUUUAUUUACAACACUGCAUGACCUGAUAGAUUUUUCAAUUUUCCUAUUAAGAAUUAGAAGGCUCAUUCAGACAAACGAUUUCUGCUGCAUUUGCCUACUGCAGGCAGAUAUUGGUUUGGGUCCGGAUUUUCAGGGGUGUAUUAAGUGGAGUAGAAGGUGGUCACUAUGGGGAGUGCCCAGGGUGCACCUUCCCUGCUCUGUGAUGACAGAAUACAACACUGCGCUUUUUGGGCUUCUAGGAAUUCAGGUCAAAAUUGGGAAUUAAAUGUAUGUAAUGUGCAAGGAUGGACUGUUAACUUAAAGGACUGACUUUUUUUUUUUUUGUAAGCGCUGGCAUUUUAGUGAAUACUGUGUUAGAUGCAUAAUAUGAGACAUAUUUCUAUUUAUUGUAAUGAAUAUCAUUUUGCUGCUACCAC